CACACACACACACACGUAGUGUCACUCCAUUGGAGUAAAACAGUUCUGUCUGUCUCCCAGUAUAAAUAAUUGCACAUAGCUUUUUGGUCAGAGGUGGGACUUUGUGCCCACUUCCUGUCCUCUGUGCUGGGAUUUUCUGUGGCUUAAACUUGCUGUCACUCACAGGGGCCACUCUCUUCCCGCACUAAGCUCCUCCUUCCAUUUGCAGCAGGGUCCUUCCCAUGUGGCCUUUUUGAGAGAUGUAAGAGCUCGUUGCCUUGAACAUAGAGGGCUGAGCCUGGAAAACGGACUGCAUCUGCCCCAAAGUGUCAUCCUUAUGUCCCCCUUCUUUAGAUUUAACCUUCAGGCAACCCAGUAUAAUCUGUGUGGUCAGCUUCGAAGUGAGACUCAGGCACUUUCUAUUAUGGGGUCAUGAAGAGGACAGGCAUCCAACACCUAGAUGAACCAGGAUCUUCUUCCAUCAAAUGGGGAAGUGCUUGCCAAACUUCUGAAGCCCUUCUUGGGCAGGGGAAGGGAACAGGAGACGCUACGGACCAUUCUGCUGAUCUGUCACACCAGAAUUCUUUAUGCAGCUCUUGCUCCAUCAUAGACUCAGAAAACUCUGGAGCAGAGAAGCCCAGAUGUGUCUCACUUCACCCAAGCUUGAGAUACGGAGUCUGGAGAUAGAGGCUGGAGACUGUCCUCCCUAUCUGCAAUUGUCAUUUGCACCUUGCGACGCCGGCAGCACCCUUCACUCUGCACGCCGCAUGAACUGCACCUCGCCGGACCCAAGUUCAUUAUCAGUGGGGUCUACUGUAUAUACAGUUGUUGAAAAUGGAUCCUGUAGAUGGGGGACAGCUGUUUGUACUUAGCGGUUAAGUGUCCCUGCGAUGCUGGCGGCCUCUGACAAAAGCGCUGUUCUCUGCGAGGCAUCAUUCUCUCAAAGACUUCCUAAAUCAGGGCCAGAUGUCUGCACAUGACUCGUGUUUCUUCUGAAGAUUCUUCUUUCUGGGAAGGGGGCUUUUACUGAGGUGUGGGAAGUGGGGUGCAUAAGCCGGCACGCUCACCACCCCUAGAAGACUGGGGUGGCGUUUGAGUGCUAAGGACUGUCAGGCAACUGAAAGUGAUGGUGUCCAUUUUACAGAUGUGAAAGUCAUCAGGACACAGGACACAAGCCCCACAAGCCACUGCAUUGUUUGGGGAGCUACAAAGCCAUUGUAUCAAAGACUGCCGUACUUAGCUUCAAGUUCUCGAUUUCUCUGUGCUCAGUUGGGAAGACAUGGUCAAAAUCGGUAGAAAUCCAGACAAGGGCUGGAGCAUCAGCAGCAACUUUGAUAUGUGAGGUGACCUGGGAAUGAAUACCUCGCAGGAGGCUCGUGGAACACACCAGCCCCAGACAGACCAACCCUCCAGGUUUGGAAUUAUCAGUCUAGUAUUUGUCCUAGGUUUGGGGAUAUUAUCGGAAACACCCAAGCCAACAUGGCUUCAUGCUAUCAAGUACACUGAGAAAGGAUACCUGACCCCACAGAGACCUUUGUGCUUCCUGCUAGCACCGUUCUACAAAUGGCGAAGAAUCUUCACCGAUACCAUGGAAGGAACUUUUGCAGUCUGUGUCCAUAGUAAAGCAUCAGAAGGAGAAAUAUCCCUUUAGCCUUCAAUUAUUUGGCUUCAGUGUGGCAGAGUCUAGAACUCUUAUAUCUUCAUUUUAGAAGCUGAAUGUUAUCAGUCCUAGAAUGCUCAUAGUCUCUUGUGUUCUCGCAUGUUCUCUUACUUAGGUUGAGGAAUCAAGACACCCCACGUAUGCCCGGUGAAGCUGAGGUUUUAGGACAGCCAUUGUCUGCCUUGCCCAGUACCCACCCAAACUCAGCAUAGAGUUUGGCUUAACACAGGGUUUCUGACCAUGACCUCCAUGGAGCACAGUCCAACACCUUCCAUCUCAGCCAGUUUAUCCAUUCCCCGUGUGAAUUCUCUAGGUGCAGCAGUUUGGGGCAUGCUAUGUCCUCAGCCCUGUCAUCAGGAAGGACAAGGGCUGAAGAGAGCAGGUAUGGAUGGGGAACGGGUUUCUUGGCUUCGGAAUGUCGAUGAAGGACCGUAAGGUUAGGGAAGCGGUGCAUUGUCCAUGGAACAAGUUUGAGCUGCCACAAUCUGUGGUUCCGACUCCAGCCUAAACUCAGAGGUCAAAUGAAAGAGGGUCACAGCUCAAAGAGAAGGGUGAAGCAUGGGGCCUUACGGCGCACUCUCUAUACCUCUCCAUACACCCAUGCCCUGUUCCACGUGUCAGGCCAACAGCUUUCCUGUCCCUCUGUUCCCCAGAAGUGGCAGCACAAACUCCUACUAAGAGCCUAGGAGGUUACAGAUUAGGUGACACACCACCCCAGCUGGAGACUCUUCCCUGAGUUCUAUUUUAAUCUUUGGCACCAUCCCACUUUGCAAGAUACCCAGUGUUUAAGGCAAUUAUGUCCCUUCUUAAUCCAGGUCUUCCAGACAGAAUACUGUAAACACGAAUCUGAGUCCUAAAGGAGGAGACCCCAGCAGUUACAUGAGGCAGUCGGUCAGAAGCUUGGCAUACGCCCGAGUGGUAGAGUUUGCCUCGUAUGCAGGAGACCCUGGGGUCCAUUGUGAACACCCCAUAUGGCUGUCAGGGACGACACAUGUGCUCGCUUCUCUCCCUGAACCCGGGAGCAUCAGACCUGGCAGAAGGUGGUCCCAGGACGGAGACUUGAGGCAGUGUCGGCCACCUGCCCAGCUAAGGUUUCUGGUGAUGAGAGGGAGGGAUGCAGAAUGUAAGGGGAGUUUGGCUGACCUCUGCUGAGGCCCUCAUCUAAUACAGGAAGUGCCGGGAUGCACAGCACCUGGGAAGGGCGGUUAGGACCAGAGCUCGUCUACCCAGCCCUGCUUUCUCUUUUUGUCCCAAGGAUGUGCAAAGAUGCUGGAGAGCUGGGAGAACGGUCUGUCUCCCAGACAUGUCUGCACUUAGCUAGUACAUUUCUGUUUUUAUUUCUAUCCCUAUAUGGGCUGCCAUCAUGGAGGUGGGUAUAUGUUGGCAUUAAAGUUUCCUGUCCAAUGGUACUGAGUUACGAGUCUUCCACAGCAGUCGUGGAAGCUUGCCCACGGGGUUAAAUACUACAAGCCUUACUUAAUAAUCACUCUUGGUGGCCUCAGCUGAUGCUACCUGCUACCCUCUCUCUCAUAGCACUCUGGUCUGGCAGGAAGCUCUUUAAAAAGAGUUCCCCAACCGGGCAGUGGUGGUGCACACCUUUAA